CUGACCGCCGCGAGAGCUUUAAUAAUAAACAAACACAAUCAUCUGUCGGCUGGCUGACCACAUGAGUUUAAUUUCUGUUUCAAAUGAUAAAAACAUAAUCACAUUACGUGUUUACCAGUUUCCCUUUUCGAUGAAGACAGCUCAGCAAUAUAAUAGUGGAAAAAAAUGGCAAAAUAAAACACUGGAAUAAAAAAACAAAAUUGGCAACUCUUGCCGCUGAGCUAUAGCUACCGGUCUAAGUUUUAUUUCAGUUAUCAAGCGUUAUACGAGUGUUGCUGGUGAUAUUGCAACAAUGGCGCAUUAAGCCGCCUUUUUGUUGCAGUUUGGGUCGAUUCCCAGAGCCCCAUACUUUCGGUCCCCAGUCCCAGUCACAGGCCCCGGAUGAUUAGGUAAUUGCUAGGAGCUCUAAGACAGCAUUACUUUCACUUUUUUCUCCAUUUUAGGGCUUGGAUGAUGGGUAAUCUUAACAAUGCGUACUAAUUUUGCAAUAAACUAAAUGUCGUAAAGCGAGAAACAGAGGACACACAGAGAUAAUGGCUGAAAAACACGGUCGAUCGUCGUCACAUAAUGAUGGAAAUGACAGAUCUGAAUACGAAUAUGGACAUUAGGCGGCGUUGCUGCCACCGUAUGGAAAAAAAGAAGACUAACAACGAAAACCACAAAUGAACGGCAGAAAAAGGUCAAUUUAAUAAUAAUAAUAAUAAUAGCAACAUAUAGUA